CCCAAAAUACAACAGAAAUUCCUAUGAUUUGAGAGCACUUUUGUAAUCACUCCCUUGCUAGCACAAAACCCAGGACCUUGAAGGUUUGUACAUAGAAAGGAUUUUCUCAAAAAGCAGUGUGACCGAGAGGAAGCUCUGCCUGACAUGAGAAGGAAGGAAAAAGUGACUGACUUCUGCCUCAAGACAUCCUCCUCGGCUUUUAAUGCCUUGGAUUGCAGCAGCGACUAUGGGACAAGCUAAUCCACUGGGAUGGUGAAGCAGAAAGGUGGAAAGAGCUUAG
rnacentral:lncRNA from 1 species